rnacentral:lncRNA from 1 species
AGAGAAAGAACAGGCCAAUUUUGAGAGGAUAGGAAAGAAGAGGGAUGGGAGAGUGAAAUAAGACGAAAUCACCUGACAUGUUAAAUAAAAUAAGGGCAUUAUUGACUUUACCCAUCUUUCUUAAAAGUAUAGAUAAAAUGAAAAGUAUGAUAGAUUCAAGAGCAUGUGAGAUUAUUUUUCUGUCUUUAAAAGCAUAUGAAACUUUUGUCGUUUCUUUUAUGCCUCUUUUAAUAACUCACCAAUAUCUGCAGGACUAACGAAAAAGUUU